GCCCGACUGGCAUAGUGGUAUUGCGUCUCACUCGUAAUGAGAAGAUCCUAGGUUCGAUUCCUAGGUUGGGCA